rnacentral:tRNA from 1 species
GCCGCCUUGGUCUAGUUGGUCUAGGACACUCGGUUCUCAUCCGAGAGAUCAGGGGUUCGAAUCCCCUAGGCGGUA